AAUUUAAUAAUUAUUAGGUUUGAGUAUUUAUGUUUAUUUUUAUUAAUUAAAAUAAUAUAAUAAUUUAAUAGUUUAAGUAUUUUUUAAAGAAAAAAUUUUAUAAAUUAUAGUUAAGUUGUAUUGUGAAAGAAUUUUGAAAAAAUUGAAAAUUAUAUUUUUAAAAAGUAAAUUUUAUUAUUUGUACCUUGUGCAUCAGGGUUUAUUAAUUAAAAAUUAUUAAUUAUAUUUUUCUCGAAAUUAAAAGAGCUAUAUAGUUAUUAUUUUUAUUGUAGUAUAAAUAUUUUAAAUAAUUAUAUUGAAAUGAAAUGUUAUUCGUUUUUAAUGAUAUCUAGUUUUUUAAUAAAUGAAUUUAAUUCAGAUAUUAAAUGAUAUAUAUAUAUAUAUAUAAAUUUUUAUUAAAAAUUUAAUAUUUUAAUAUUAAUAUUUUAAGGGAUAAGCUUUAAAAUUUAAAUUUAUAAAAUUAAAUAAAUAUUUUUAAAAUUUAUAGUCUUAUAGAUAGAUUUUAUUUAAAAAAUGUUAUAAUUUAAUUUAUUAUAAAUAUGAUUUUAUAUAUUUUUAAUUAUUUAUUAAAAUAUUUUAAUUAAUAAAAUUAAUAAAUUUAAUAAUGAUAUAAUUAGUAAAUAUAUAAUUUUUGUUAAUUUAUUUAAUUUAAAAUGGAAGGUUAAAUUAAGGAAUUCGGCAAAAUUAAUUUAUUUAUACUCGCCUGUUUAACAAAAACAUGUCUUUUUGAAUUUAAUUUAAAGUCUAAUCUGCUCAAUGAAAAUUUUAAAUAGCCGCAGUAUUUUGACUGUGCAAAGGUAGCAUAAUAAUUUGUCUUUUAAUUGGAGGCUGGAAUGAAUGAUUGGACGAGGUAUAAACUGUCUUUAUUUAAUUAGAUAUUGAAUUUAAUUUUUAAGUUAAAAAGCUUAAAUUUUUUUAAAGGACGAGAAGACCCUAUAGAGUUUGAUAUUUUAUAUAAUAUUAAGAAUUAAUUCUUUAUUUAAUAUUAUAUGAGAUAUUUUAUUGGGGCGAUAGAAAAAUUUAAUAAACUUUUUUAUUAAAAUUUUACAUUUAUUUAUGAUUUAUUGAUCCUAAUAUUUAGAUUAAUAGUUAAAAUUACCUUAGGGAUAACAGCGUUAUUUUUUUUAGAGUUCUUAUUGAUAAGAAAGAUUGCGACCUCGAUGUUGGAUUAAAAUUAAAUUUAGGUGUAGAAGCUUAAAGAUUAAGUCUGUUCGACUUUUAAAAUUUUACAUGAUCUGAGUUCAAACCGGCGUGAGCCAGGUUGGUUUCUAUCCUUAAAUAAAAGUAAAGUUUUUAGUACGAAAGGACCAGAAUUUUGAAAAAUUUUUUAAAGAUUGAAUUAUAUUAAUUAUUAUA
rnacentral:rRNA from 1 species